GAUGAACGCUGGCGGCGUGCCUAAUACAUGCAAGUCGAGCGAACAGACGAGGAGCUUGCUCCUCUGACGUUAGCGGCGGACGGGUGAGUAACACGUGGAUAACCUACCUAUAAGACUGGGAUAACUUCGGGAAACCGGAGCUAAUACCGGAUAAUAUAUUGAACCGCAUGGUUCAAUAGUGAAAGACGGUUUUGCUGUCACUUAUAGAUGGAUCCGCGCCGCAUUAGCUAGUUGGUAAGGUAACGGCUUACCAAGGCAACGAUGCGUAGCCGACCUGAGAGGGUGAUCGGCCACAUUGGAACUGAGACACGGUCCAGACUCCUACGGGAGGCAGCAGUAGGGAAUCUUCCGCAAUGGGCGAAAGCCUGACGGAGCAACGCCGCGUGAGUGAUGAAGGUCUUCGGGUCGUAAAACUCUGUUAUUAGGGAAGAACAAAUGUGUAAGUAACUAUGCACGUCUUGACGGUACCUAAUCAGAAAGCCACGGCUAACUACGUG
rnacentral:rRNA from 1 species